UUGUCUUUUGAGCCCCGUUUUUUUAGCCUAUAUUUCUUUACAUUUUGGCAAAUUGGCACUAUUAAAAGUAUGCCGAAUUACCUAUUAGCAGUUCCUGUUUGCAGUGUACCCAUGGAUGUACAGACAACUAUCACUGGAUUAUUUUGAUACUGAAGAAAACUUAAAAACAUGAUGCUUCUCAGCCAAAUUCGGCAGCGUCUUUUUUUCUAUGAUUUCUAAGCGUUUUUAUAGACGUUUUCAGCGAUAUCCAUAGUGCCCAGUUGAUUUUGUCCAAUACUUCGAUCAAAUACCUUCAUAUUACAAGGGAAAGUUUUACAUUUUUGGGAAAUAUGCUUAUUUAACGCUGUUUCAUUGCCGAGGUUGCCCGGCAACCAGAGAGACUCCAGGAAGUUACUGGUCCCAGCCAAGUAAUACUCAAUAACGGCGAUUUGUCGUUUUUACCUGUUUCAUGUCAACUCCUGAGUUACCUGAGUCAGCCUGGAUUUCCCCCGAGGUCUACGUCCUGCACGAUCUGCUGUGUGUCAAUACUAACCAAGGCCAGACACUCAAAGCUGUCAGCUCUUCAAUAAGAGAUGAGAUAGAGGAAUCAUAGGCCAAGAGUACACCUUGCACUCAGCCCUGCCAUUCUGCAUCUGCAUUCUGCAACUGUUCCUGUUUUCCAGUGCCUGACACUCACACCUGCAUAAGAGCCGAAGUCUGAGCUGUGCAAAGAGAGAAUAUCUUUGGAGAAUAUCGACAUUGGAGGCAUACCGAAGUUUGAGUACAGGUGCAAGGGCACCGAAGACGAUGGAGAGAGUGCAAGGUUUUGCCCUCAUAUAUACCUCCACCAACUCUCUUUCUGUUUGCUGAAAAGAUGUUUACAUGACCUUGUCUUUGUACAGUUAGAGCUCAGAGUCAUGAUUAUUUAUUCAGUUGCUUGUGAAGAAAGAUCAUCAUCAGGUCUGUUUUAAUGCAUUAGAAUCCCUCCAGACUGUGUAUUUUUUAUUGAGCAAGACCAUAAAUCAUCACUGUCUCUUGUGGACAAUGCACAAUAUAUUUAUUGCACCAGAUAUAACUCGAAUUUUCAUCUAGUCCGGAGGCCACCGGUGAUGCACAGGUUGAUGCAGUAAAAGAUGAGUCAGUUGUGGUGAAUCAAAACAUUUUGAAGACACACAAUAGAACUUUUUUAUAUAUUUUUUUAACAAAUCUUUAUUUUCAGUUCAGUUCAACAUUUGGCAUACAAUGCUUUUUUUUGUUAUACAAAAUACUGUGCAGAAUCUAAGAAAAAUAUAAAACAAAACACAAAUCAAAAUAUGAGAUUACAUAAACAAGAGUUAGCCCAAAGGUAUCAUAAAAAUGACUUAGUACAGUAACAAGGAAAGUGGAUUCACAAAAGUAUAGACUGUCAAAUUAGUUACAUUGUGCUUCAUGUCAGGAAGAAACAGUAUCACCAGUGAAAUGUCAACAUUAAGUCAUCAUAGGAAGUACAACACAGUAAUUAAUGCAAUAAGCAUACACAGAGUCCUCAAGAGUAAAAGUAAAAUACACAGCAGUUAGCCCAACCGUAGUUCAACAGUUACUUCGCUAGAAUGCUACAUUAGCAACACAUUAGCCUCAGACGCCUAGUGUAAUGGUUAGCUUAAUUAGCAAUAAACUGAUUGCAGAAUAACUAAAUUAACAAUAACAAAAGUACCUUCAGAAAUGCUCCAGUGAGGCAUUUUGGGGUGUAGAUAAAAGAUGGCUGUCAAUACUUGUUUGGUCACAGAUCUGACAAAAUGGCGGCUGUUAACAAUGACAGUUAAGCUGCUGUAAAACUGUGCCUGUAGUGGUUGCUACAACAACUACAGUUUUACAACUACAGUUCACAAAUGUUCAACGGAAACCAACUGCAGUGACAGAAUAAAUAAUAACUUAAUAAAUACAUGAAAACAACAUUUCUUUUAUCAUUGAGUAUAAAAGUAAAUAAAAUAAACAAAGAAAUAAACGAAAAGAAGACCGAUGCCGCUUUCAUGUCUGUACAGUUAAUAUGUAGCCACAGCCAGCAGACCGUUUUUUACCCUUCAAACAAACAAGAUAUAACACAUUAAUUCAUGAGCUUUAGAGGUGCUGGUAGGUGGAUUUUUUUUA